rnacentral:rRNA from 1 species
UUGGACGACGAUGCCAUGAAGUGGUAACACGGAAUGGUAUACGGAGUAGCGGACGGGUGAGUAAAGCAUGAGGAGCUGUCCUGUUGAGGGGGAUAACGUUCGGAAACGGACCCUAAUACCCCAUAGGCCGAGAGGUUAAAGGCAGAGAUGCGCGACAGGAGGUACUCGUGUCCUAUCAGCUGGUUGGAGAGGUAACGGCUCACCAAGGCGACGACGGGUAGCCGGCCUGAGAGGGUGACCGGCCACACGGGAACUGAGACACGGUCCUUACUCCUACGGGAGGCAUCAGUGGGGAAUAUUGGACAAUGGACCAAGAGUCCUGAACCAGCGACGCCGCGUGAACGAUGAAGUUCUUCGGGUUGUAAAGUGCUUUCAGUGGGAAGAAAGAAAUGACGGUACCACAGAAGAAGUGACGGCUAAAUACGUGCCAGCAGCCGCGGU